CCUUUAAGGAGAAUUGGGUCCUUAAGAGAGAGCAGUGAUGAAAAGUGAAAGUUCCACCCAGAGCCAAGUCCCAAGGGCAAAAACAGGUGUCUCUGGGAGAACUCAGAAGAGAGGAGGAGGUAGAUAGAUCCCCGCGGGAAUGGACGAAACUGGAAUCGGGGUCAUCAGGACAAUGACCACAUUUUUCCGGCCACACAAUAGGGUACAGAAAGCGGAGUCUCUGAACUUGGGAGUUUCAAAGCCAUAGGAAUCUUAAGAGUGCUGCAGCCAGUGGACCAUCAAUGGCCCAAGAAACAAGUAGUUCACUGAGUGAACUUUAGGAUUCCAGCUUAGUGAAAGAAAUCAUUCAGCACUGAUGGUUACCUAUAGAUGAUCAGUGCUUUGUAGGAAAUGAGCUAAGUUAUGUGCCUAAUCUCUUCCCCUCUACUCACCUCAGUGGGGAGAGGCCACUGAAGUAUUGGGGGAAAUUGUUUUGUCAUUGUUAUAUCUUUGAAAUAAACAUUUUGUAAAACUA